rnacentral:snRNA from 1 species
GUAGUUACCUGGGAGGGAAGAUAGUAUUGUGAAGAUCGUUUUUCCAGAGUGAGGUUUUUUCUAUUGUGUGUACUGAUUCUUGCGAUUUUCCUAAAUGUAGGAAAUUCCACUGCAUAAUUUGUGGUAGUGGGGGGGGCUGCGUUAGUGAAUUCCGCUG